rnacentral:piRNA from 1 species
UAAUAUUCGAGCACCUGGGGC